rnacentral:rRNA from 1 species
CCUACGGGAGGCAGCAGUGGGGAAUAUUGGACAAUGGGGGCAACCCUGAUCCAGCCAUGCCGCGUGUGUGAAGAAGGCCCUCGGGUUGUAAAGCACUUUCAGUGAGGAAGAACGCCUGGUGGUUAAUACCCAUCAGGAAAGACAUCACUCACAGAAGAAGCACCGGCUAACUCCGUGCCAGCAGCCGCGGUAAUACGGAGGGUGCGAGCGUUAAUCGGAAUUACUGGGCGUAAAGCGCGCGUAGGUGGCUUGAUAAGCCGGUUGUGAAAGCCCCGGGCUCAACCUGGGAACGGCAUCCGGAACUGUCAAGCUAGAGUGCAGGAGAGGAAGGUAGAAUUCCCGGUGUAGCGGUGAAAUGCGUAGAGAUCGGGAGGAAUACCAGUGGCGAAGGCGACCUUCUGGACUGACACUGACACUGAGGUGCGAAAGCUUGGGUAGCAAACAGGAUUAGAUACCCCGGUAGUC